UUUUUUUUGCUUUUAGAUCACUUUUCUUUCUCAAUAGAUCUCCCCUUUUCUCCCUUCCCAAAAGGCUUAUUCUGUAUAGGUCUUGAAGACCUUAUCUCUGAAAUAAGCUUUCUAAUGAUAAACCUCUGGGGUAUUUCUGAGAAGAUCAGAGAUUUAUAGCUCGAAAGAACAUCAGUGAUUGCUUACUUUGUUUUGAUUUUUUUAAAAUUAUUGAUAUCUUUUGCUUUUAGAUCACUUUUCUUUCUCAAUAGACCUCCCCUUUUCUCUCUCCCCAAAA